GCCUCCAAUCCAACUCCAAGAAUCAUUGGACCGAUGACUGUGAUUCGACGAGGGCUUCAUUUCCUUGGCCGACCCUCCUUAUCUUCUUUGUGCCAGUUCUCAAAUCCCAUUUCCUUCUCUUCACUCUUCACAAAUCACAAGAACAAGAAGUUGCUCAUUUUCAACCCUAAAGGCCUAAUUUAUUGCCCUUUUUCAGUAUUCGUUACCUCUCUUUUUUGUGCCGAUCAUCAAUUUAUUGCCUGUCUUCUUCGAUUUGAUCAUGGAAUGUUUAUUAUGUAAUUAAUUUUUUCUUGUCAAGAUUCAUGACAGAGUAAACUCCUUGAAAAAUUACAAUUUCUCUUACUUAGCUUGUGUACGUAGUUUUAUUUCAGGUAGAUUGAUGUUAAGAAGGGCCUUUGACUACAAUUAUCUCAAUCAGAGUGUUGCUGUCUUGCUGAUGAAGGUUUGCCUCAUUUUUCCUUUGGUCGUGCUUCCCAACUCUUGUGUUUCUUCUAUUUUAUUACUAUUGAAAAAAUAAAAACAUCUAUUGAUUAGCAAAGAUGUUAUAUGUCAGUUGUCCUGUUGCUAAUGAUAUAUUUGAUGAACUGUCAAAUCCCAAAUGGAGCCAUAACAUUAGUACAUAAAUCAUACGUAGCAGUCUAGUAACCAGAUUUUUGUUUUCCUUUACUUGUGCUCAUGUUCAAUCGUACGUUAUUUGAAGACCUUAUGCACAUGAUUGGUGCCAUAGAUAUUUUAGGUUCGUUGUUUUUGUGAGAUAGUAGUAAGGUGAACAAUAUCAAUUGAAAUGAAUUUUGUCUCUGGUUUGGUUUGGUUUCCACGUUUUGAUUUUGGUUUCCGCUUUUGGUUUUGUAUUGGUGGUUGAUGCCAAAUAUUUAUUUCAGGCUUGUGAAUUGUGACGACAGAAUUCUCAACGACGUGAUUCCAUCAUUUUCGUCGAAAUUCUACUUCUCAUGUAAGUAAUGGCUUGCCCUAACUUGUUAUUAAAUAUAUUGAAAAUGUUUGAAGCCUUAUCGGCUUAUAUAAUUGUGGCAUGGUUGGUUUAUAUGAUUGGUUAUUGUAGAAUCAAUUGCUCAGGCGCACAUAGUAACUAUAUUGAAAACUUUAAUUGUGAAAUGAUUGAAAUAUUUUGUGAAAAGAAGUUUCUCCAAUUGAAGUUGAUCAAGACUUACCUCCGAUCAACUAGGUCACAAGAAAAAUUGAACAGAUUAGCUAUGCUAUCAAUAGAGAAAGAAAUUGUUGAAUAACUAAAUUAUUCAGAUUUGAUUAAUGUUUUUGUCUCUAAAACAACAAGGCAAAUAGUAUUUAAAUGAUUAUUUGAAACAUUGUUAGUUUUGUUAUUUUAUAAUAUAAAUAUUUUGUAUAAUAUAUUUAUUUGUUGUUUUACUAUUAAAUUUUAAGUUAGCGAUAUAUUGUAUAAUACAUAAUAUGUUUUGUUGGAUUUUGCAUUUAAGUUGAUUUUGGGGGCCUAAUUUUUGAAGUUCGCCUCAGGCUCCAAAAAUCACAGGACCGGCAUUGCUUGCCACCACCCACACAACGUUGGCACCUCCAUCCCCGAUAUGACUCCCCAUUCCCACACUUGGCUCCACCACCUCUCAACAUCAAUGAGGAAAUCUCGAAACAUGCAAUCCGAGUUGAGAAGAAAGUUUUGAAAUAGGGAUCAAAUCUUCAUCUAAACCCAAAUCUCAAUCAUCAAAUACAGUACCAAUUGGUAAUGGAGUCAAGCUUCUGUUGAGUUCAAGAACUGAGUUUGACUCAUAUGAUGAGGUAAUGGAGACAGUGUUGGUCCAU
rnacentral:lncRNA from 1 species